UUUCAAAUGCGGACACGCAGGUUCAUGGAGUGCCUGAAUUUUAACAUUUUGCGAUCCUGUAACUGGAAUUUCACCUUUGAGUUUUAUAUUUUGUAUCUUGCCUCUUACUGUGUGGAGUACGAAUACAUGCCUUUUUGUUAGUUUUUUAAUCCACUGAUCAGAGUUUUAGUCUGAAUAAUCUCUCAGCAUGUUUCCUCUCGGCACAAUGAGAUUACAGAUGAACUCCAGCCAUGCUUCACCACAGAUAACACCAAAAUCCUCAAAUUGGUUGAAGGAGUUCUCACUCCCAUAAUGGAGGGGCCAAAAGCCAACAUGAGAUUUGGUGAUUCAGGCCAAUUGUUACAACUUUCAACUUCCGCAGUUGGUUGGCGAUGGAUUACUUGAUGCAGCUUUGAACCUAAAGAAUACUUAAAGAAUAUACCUACUUAUGGAAGUUACGGUGUAAAUGCUAUUUCCGCAGUUAGUUUCAUUUUUCUUGGAGGAGGAUGUCAACAAUGGUCUAUUUUGGUGAUGCGGCAAAGUGGUUGAAUUAUGAUUUAUGAGUAGAUGGGCCUUAACUCUGAGGAUUUAAAUAGCAUCGAAGUUUCACUAGCCCUUCAGAGGCCAAUCCAAGCUGGACUACUAGUAUUGGAGUAACACUGGUUUUCUGUUCGUAUUUGCUUGCAAAUGCUCAAAUUGCUCUGGUCUAUGAUGGGAUCAGGGGGAAAAAAAUUGGAACAAGACUGCAAGAGUAAGGGGGAGAUAAGGUUAUUUUAUCUGAAACACCUAUUGAGUGGUGAGUGGUUCACGUAAAGGCACUGGCAUUCCAGGUAUGCUUUUCACUUUAGAUAGUUCCCCCCCUCAAUGACGUCCACUAUGAAGUUGAAUAUAUUAUGACUAUUGUCUGCAACAGUUGUUUAUACAUCCUGCUACUUCUGCACAUAGUGUAAAAAAGAAACUAUUAGUUACCACCAUUGUAUUAGUUAA